CCUACGGGAGGCUGCAGUGGGGAAUAUUGCACAAUGGGGGGAACCCUGAUGCAGCGACGCCGCGUGAGUGAAGACGUAUUUCGGUAUGUAAAGCUCUAUCAGCAGGGAAGUAAAUGACGGUACCUGACUAAGAAGCCCCGGCUAACUACGUGCCAGCAGCCGCGGUAAUACGUAGGGGGCAAGCGUUAUCCGGAUUUACUGGGUGUAAGGGGCGCGCAGACGGUUGUGCAAGUCUGUAGUGAAAGGCGGAGGCCCAACCCGCGGACUGCUCUGGAAACUGUAAAGCUGGAGUGCAGGAGAGGUAAGCGGAAUUCCUGGUGUAGCGGUGAAAUGCUUAGAUAUUAGGAGGAACACCAGUGGCGAAGGCGGCUUACUGGACUGCAACUGACGUUGAGGCUCGAAAGCGUGGGGAGCAAACAGGAUUAGAUACCCGUGUAGUC
rnacentral:rRNA from 1 species